ACGCGCUCAUCUUCCUCAAUUGCGGGCUGCUGUGGGUCCUCUGCGCGGGGUCGCUCGCCUUGGUCAUCGUGCGCCUUGCCCUGGGUCAGGUCGAGGUCCCCCCCGCGCUCUGGGCGGCGUCCUGGGUCUCCAUUUACUUCCUUAUGUUGCUCGGCCCCGUUGCCUGGUUCCUCGCCGGCGCGCGCUCCUCGCGCUCCCCGUACACCACCACUGACGCCAACAAGGACUUGAUGGGGAUCCUUGUUCCGGGGGCCUUCAUUCUGCUCGCAAUUGAUUAUGAUAAGGUGGCGGGUCUGUUGGGUGUGGAAGGAUCUCAGAGGGAACGGACUGGUUCAAUAGUGAGGGAUUUGGGGUUAAUGGGUGCUGGUGCAACAUGUUUGGUCACCUUAACAACUAUGAUACUGAGGCAAUGGAGGAUGAAGUAGAGGGUUAUGUGGUUGUGUUGUUGAGCCAUAACCCUGAAUGGAUGGUGUUAAGAUGGACAAGACAAAUACAAGAGCCGACUUUUUGCUGAAGUUUAUGGCCACGGAUAAGUACUGGAUUUUAUUUAGUUAGUUGCAUGUAUUCACGACUGUAGAUUGAUCCACUACUAGUAUUGAGUACUCCAUGUGCUAGGAGCUCUCAUUUGACAUUAUGACGUUGAAGUGUUUACUUGCUGGCUUGCUGCUGGGAAGCCUGGAAUACAUGACCAGAUGGUGAGGGGUAUACCACCCUCCAAGAGGACAAUGCUUUUGUAGGCAUAUAGAAUUUGCCAUGUUGGUAUUGUUAUGUUCGAUGACUACCAUUUCUUCGCAAGAGCACCCUGUGGCAGUUACUGUAGAAUAUUAUGUUUGUAGUGAUCACUGAUGUUACCGAUCUACAGAUUUGUGGAGUAUGAGCAUGUUCAUUUUCUUU